GAUGAACGCUGGCGGCGUGCUUAAUACAUGCAAGUCGAACGGAAAGGUUACUGCUUGCCGGGGUUCACGAGUGGCGAACGGGGGAGUAAAACGUGGGUGAAAUGCACUGCAAUUCGGGAUAAGCCUGGGAAACUGGGUCUAAUAUCGGGUAGGACGAUGGGUUGGAUGCCAUUGUGGAGAGAAUGACGGUGUGGGAUGAGCUUGCGGACUAUCAGCUUGCUGGUGGGGUAAUUGCAUACGAAGGCGGAGACGGGUAGCCGGCCUGGGAGGGGGGACGGCGACCAUGGGCCUGAGGGAGGGAGCAGACGCCAACGGGAGGCAGCGGGGGGGAGCAUGGCACAAUGGGCGCAAGUCUGAUGCGGCGACGCCGCGUUCGUGAUGACGGCCUUCUGGUUAUGAACACCUUUCUCUAGAGACGAAGCGCAAGUGACGGUACCUGGACAAGAAGCCCCGGCUAACUACGUG
rnacentral:rRNA from 1 species